rnacentral:rRNA from 1 species
GUCCAUGCCGUAAACGAUGUCUACUAGCCGUUGGGGCCCUUGAGGCUUUAGUGGCGCAGCUAACGCGAUAAGUAGACCGCCUGGGGAGUACGGUCGCAAGACUAAAACUCAAAUGAAUUGACGGGGGCCCCGCACAAGCGGUGGAGCAUGUGGUUUAAUUCGAUGCAACGCGAAGAACCUUACCUGGCCUUGACAUACAGAGAACGACCCAGAGAUGGGUUGGUGCCUUCGGGAAUUCUGAUACAGGUGCUGCAUGGCUGUCGU